AUUGAACGCUGGCGGCAUGCUUUACACAUGCAAGUCGAACGGCAGCGCGGGCUUCGGCCUGGCUGCGAGUGGCGAACGGGUGAGUAAUGCAUCGGAACGUGCCCAGUAGUGGGGGAUAGCCCGUCGAAAGCCGGAUUAAUACCGCAUACGACCUGCGGGUGAAAGCGGGGGACCGAAAGGCCUCGCGCUAUUGGAGCGGCCGAUGUGGGAUUAGCUAGUUGGUGGGGUAAAGGCUUACCAAGGCGACGAUCCGUAGCUGGUCUGAGAGGACGACCAGCCACACUGGGACUGGGACACGGCCCAGACUCCUACGGGAGGCAGCAGUGGGGAAUUUUGGACAAUGGGGGCAACCCUGAUCCAGCCAUGCCGCGUGCGGGAAGAAGGCCUUCGGGUUGUAAACCGCUUUUGUUCGGGAAGAAAUCCUCUGGGCUAAUACCCCGGGGGGAUGACGGUACCGGAAGAAUAAGCACCGGCUAACUACGUG
rnacentral:rRNA from 1 species